AGGGUGCCCUUGCACAGCCCUUCCGCACGCCUGGAAGCGGGUCUCUUGUGGCUCUUUGGGCUCAGUGCAAGGAUGAAAGUGGUGUUUCUUUGUGUGAUACAUCAUCCCGGCGAUGCCAUGUUCUGCGCUGCGAAGUGUGUGAGCCAUAGAAUUGCCAGCAAGGUUUGGAAAAAAGCUUCCAGAUCACCUGAGCUAGAAGCUGCUGCCAUCCCUGAACUUGAAGAGUCACCAUGAGUCUAUUUCUUUGUAUUCACAUUUUUCUGUAUUGCUUUGUGCAUUUGCUUUUGUAAGACCAUGCACUUUAGGAUUUCCCUUUGUUCCUCUGACCUGCAAAUCA